UACGUAGGUGGCAAGCGUUGUCCGGAUUUACUGGGCGUAAAGAGCGCGCAGGCGGUCGUUCAAGUCGCGUGUGAAAGCCCCCGGCUCAACUGGGGAGGGUCACGCGAUACUGAUCGACUCGAAGGCAGGAGAGGGUAGUGGAAUUCCCGGUGUAGUGGUGAAAUGCGUAGAUAUCGGGAGGAACACCAGUGGCGAAGGCGACUACCUGGCCUGUUCUUGACGCUGAGGUGCGAAAGCCAGGGGAGCGAACGGG
rnacentral:rRNA from 1 species